rnacentral:rRNA from 1 species
GACGAACGCUGGCGGCGUGCUUAACACAUGCAAGUCGAACGAAGUGGCGAACGGGUGAGUAACGCGUGAUCAACCUGCCCUUCAGAGGGGGACAACAGUUGGAAACGACUGCUAAUACCGCAUACUGAAGGAGGGGAUUGCGGCUGAUUAGCUAGUUGGAGGGGUAACGGCCCACCAAGGCGAUGAUCAGUAGCCGGUUUGAGAGGAUGAACGGCCACAUGUGGACUGGGACACGGCCCAGACUCCUACGGGAGGCAGCAGUGGGGAAUUUGCCGCAAUGGAGGAAAGUCUGACGGAGCAAAGCCGCGUGAGUGAUGACGGCCUUCGGGUUGUAAAGCUCUGUUAAUCGGGACGCGGUACCGGAAUAGAAAGCCACGGCUAACUACGUGCCAGCAGCCGCGGUAAUAC